GUACUCAACUGAUGGUUCACAAAAAGCGUAAUCAUGAAGAUGGUUUUCCCAGGGUGAGGCUCUUCCAUUGCACUCCAGAUGGGGUGAGCCCUGCGAUUUCCCCAAAUGGGGCAUAUUCAACCUCACGAUUUCUGGUAGCUGAGCACUGUGUUCAUUCUCUCCCC
ensembl:snRNA U1 U1 spliceosomal RNA